ensembl:snRNA U6 U6 spliceosomal RNA
GUGCUUGCUGCGGGCAGCACAUAUACUAAAAUUAGAAUGAUACAGAGAAGAUCAGCAUGGCCCCUGAACAAGGAAGACACACAAAUUUGUGAAGCAUUCCAUAUUUUU